AUUUGGCAAGGGCUUUUGUUUAUGGUUCUUGGCAAUUCGAAAGCAAGUAAACAAGUGUACAACAUUUCUGGAUCCAAAUAUGUAACCUUUGAUGGGUUAGCAAGGGCAUGUGCCAAGGCUGCUGGGUUUCCUGGAACCAGAAAUUGUCCACUAUAAUCCAAAGGAAUUUGAUUUUGGGAAGAAGAAAGCCUUUCCUUUCCGCGAUCAGCAUUUCUUUGCUUCAAUCGAGAAAGCUACAAGGGGAUCUAGGUUGGAAUCCAGAAUUUGGCUUGAUAGAUGGUCUUGCUGACUCAUACAAUCUAGACUUUGGCAGAGGAACUUACAGAAAACCAGCUGACUUCUCGACAGAUGACAUGAUUCUUGGCAAGUCCCUUGUACUUCAGAGUUAAAGAUUGUUUACUUUAUCCACAGCACCUACCACCCCACCCUCCAAGGCGAUUGAUUCAAGGAGGCUGGAAUUUAAGUCUUAAUGUCUAACUCCUCAUCUAAUCUGGUGGAAAUCAAAACUGUGAUGAGAACAUAGCUUGAGUUGUUGGAUGUGCAGCAAAGAGCCCACUAAAUUCUUGUAAGUAAUUGUUGGUAUUGCUGCAAUUUGUUUUCGUUUGCAUUGCAUCAUUCAUGUUGGCUAGGUCAAUGACAUGCUGAACUCUUGGUGAAAUUGAAAAGUGUAUCGUAGCAGUUCCUUUCACCCCCAUUAUCCAUAUGUGCUCUAUGGGUGGCAGAAGUGGAUUUUUAUGUAUAAAGCAAGCUAUGUUCUAAGCUGUUUUUU